CUCCUACGGGAGGCAGCAGUAGGGAAUAUUGGUCAAUGGGGSCAGCCUGAACCAGCCAUGCCGCGUGCAGGAUGAAGGCUCUCUGAGUUGUAAAYUGCUUUUGUACAGGAGCAAAAAAACCCCUGAGGGGGUUCUUGAGAGUACUGUAAGAAUAAGCACCGGCUAAUUCCGUGCCAGCAGCCGCGGUAAUAC
rnacentral:rRNA from 1 species